rnacentral:rRNA from 1 species
AUGACUUCACCAACACUUCUGACGAUGGAUGAUGACUACGCUCCCACCUAUUGCUUCAUGGAAAAAAGUGCCAAGGUACACAAAUAUCCCUCCUCUGUAUCUAGUGAGGAUGAAUCUGAUGAAAACUUUAAGCCCAGCUACUAUAAACUUGCUAAGAUUGCUGUGAAACAACAAAGGGAUAGUGAAAAAGUUCAAAAUAUGCUAGACAAAAGCGAUGAUAUGUUGGGUGAAGAAAUGGAUCGCACUCAGACCUUGACUGAAAAUCUGCAAAGACUUCAGUCCAAGUUUGACAAUCUUCAGAGUCAUCAUAACUCUCUCUUAUCUGAUCAUGAGUAG